rnacentral:tRNA from 1 species
GGCCCGUUCGUCUAUCGGCUAGGACGCAUGGUUUUCAUCCAUGUAAGAGGGGGGGUUCGAUUCCCUACGGGCUA